ACUCCUACGGGAGGCAGCAGUGGGAAUAUUGCACAAUGGGAAGCCAUCGAUGCAGCCAUGCCGCGUGUGUGAAGAAGGCCAAUUCGGGCUUUGGUUAAAGACACUUUCAGUUGUGAGGAAAGGUUGGUAGUUAAUACCUGCCAGCUGUGACGUUAACAACAGAAGAAGCACCGGCUAACUCCGUGCCAGCAGCCGCGGUAAUACGGAGGGUGCGAGCGUUAAUCGGAAUUACUGGGCGUAAAGCGCACGCAGGCGGCUUGUUAAGCUAGAGGUGAAAGCCCNCCGCUCAACGUGGGAACUGCCUUUAGAACUGGCAGGCUAGAGUCUUGGAGAGGGAGUGGAAUUCCAGGUGUAGCGGUGAAAUGCGUAGAUAUCUGGAGGAACAUCAGUGGCGAAGGCGGCUCCCUGGCCAAAGACUGACGCUCAUGUGCGAAAGUGUGGGUAGCGAACAGGAUUAGAUACCCU
rnacentral:rRNA from 1 species